rnacentral:rRNA from 1 species
UCCAGACUCCUACGGGAGGCAGCAGUGGGGAAUAUUGCACAAUGGGGGAAACCCUGAUGCAGCGAUGCCGCGUGAGUGAAGAAGUAUUUCGGUAUGUAAAGCUCUAUCAGCAGGGAAGAAAAACCGACCAUAGGGUCGCUAGACGGUACCUGAUUAAGAAGCCCCGGCUAACUACGUGCCAGCAGCCGCGGUAAUACGUAGGGGGCAAGCGUUAUCCGGAAUUACUGGGCGUAAAGGGUGCGUAGGUGGUUUCUUAGGUCAGAGGUGAAAGGCUACGGCUCAACCGUAGUAAGCCUUUGAAACUGGGGAACUUGAGUGCAGGAGAGGGGAGUGGAAUUCCUGGUGUAGCGGUGAAAUGCGUAGAUAUUAGGAGGAACACCAGUGGCGAAGGCGGUCUGCUGGACAGCAACUGACGCUGAGGCGCGAAAGCGUGGGGAGCAAACAGGAUUAGAUACCCGAGUA